rnacentral:rRNA from 1 species
AUGGAGGAGUUGAUGCUCCGCGUCCGCCGCUUAUAUGCCAUGCUGGACGGCACGAACAUCCACCGGCGCAAGCGUGUCCGCACGACCUUCGCCAAGUACGAUCCAGCACGGCAGUCCACGGCGUUUAACUCAGGACCGGCGGAGAUGCCGUUCGACCCACUGGCGCAGCACAAGCGCAGGUUCAGCCGGCGGCUGCCUCGCCCAUCCCGGUCGCGGCCGGUGCCGGUGCGGAGCUCGCCGCCCCGGCCGCUCCCGCGGAGGGACCAAGACGAGGUCCCGCCCUGCAUUGACAACCGGAAGAACCCCAACAAGCGGCAACCGGCGUCGUCGGGUGGCGUUGGGACGCUGGACGAUCAGAUAUACCGCAACUUCGCGAGGCUCGCCGAGGCGCUGGACGCCGCGGAGGAGGCCUUCCUGCUACGGAACAAACCGGACAAGGGGUCCUCCGGCAUUGCACCUGGACGGGCUGCGGCCGGCAAGAGGGAGAGGCCGGUCGACUUCGACUUCGACGAGCCGGAGCAGAGCGACGACCCCUUCAACCUCGAUCAGUUCAUGUCCAAGUUUGCUUGUUUAGGCAUGGAAGAUUUCAAUCUGGACGAACUGCUAGGAUCGAUGCUACAUAUCCGAUAG